rnacentral:rRNA from 1 species
AUGGAGAAGGGGGGCAGAGGGCUGUCCUGCCGGGCCGCCGUCUGCGGCAUCGUCGUCCUGCUCUGCGCCACCGCCUUCUCCUGCUCCCUCGCCGCCGAGUUCCGCAGGGUCAAGGUCAGCCUCCUGCUCCUGCUCUCUUUGUCGCGCUCCUCGUGUUGCGAUUGCAAUUGGCGAGAGGCUCCCGGUUCCCGGAUCGGAUCUGAAUCGCCUGCCUGUCGGUUGCUCGAUCAGGACGAGGACAUGAAGCUGGACGGCAGCCUCUGCUCCCUGCCCAAGAGCUCCGCCUUCGAAUUGGGCGUCGCGGCCAUCGCCUUCCUCUCGGUCGCGCAGCUCGUCGGCACCACCGCGGCCGCGACCACCAUGUGCGCCUCCGGCUCCAAGCCCGGCAAGCCCGUCGCCACCGGAGGCCGCGUCGCGCCCGUCGUGCUCCUGGCCCUCUCAUGGGUGUGCUUCGCGCUGGCCGUGAUCCUGCUGGCGACGGCGGCGAGCAUGAACAGCGGGCAGCGCUACGGCCGGGGGUGGAUGGACGGCGACUGCUACGUCGCCAGGAACGGCGUGUUCGGCGGCGCCGCCGCGCUGGUCGUCGUCACGGCGCUCCUCAUCCUCGGCCUCACCUUCGCCACCAAAACCGCGGGGGCCGGCUCGAGCACGAAGGCGUGCGCCAGAGGAGACGCCGCCUGCACAACUACCAUCCGUGUCGACGCGGCAACAGGCGCGAGCGCGGAACAGCCGGGCGGGCGAUCCAAGCAAUGA